rnacentral:tRNA from 1 species
AACAGCGUGGCUCAGUGGAAAGAGCCUGGGUUUCGGAGCCAGAGGUCAUGGGUUCGUCUCCCAGCUCUGCCA